rnacentral:lncRNA from 1 species
ACAUUAAUUGAACAGGCAUAAUUUGCCCUGAUAACAUAAAAGAAGAACCGCAGUGUAACUUGGAAACAAUAUCCUCAACAGAAGAGAAGUGAGCACGUAUGACCUGCACUUCCUUGUCCAGCAGUGAUGUCAGAUCCAAUUUAUUUAUUUAUUUAUUUUAUCAAACAUUAAUCAAACGUUGAACCUGCUGAAGUUUUGAGCCACAGAGUUAAAAAACCGGGGCCUUGUUUUGCUACAGGAAUUUCAUAAUAUUGGAAUUGACUUAGCCCAAUAUUUCGCCUGCACCAACAGUAGUCAAUAGCAUGCAAGGAAUGAAAAUCACUCACCCACCUCACUCCGCAGUGCUGACUUGAAAUCACGCCCACCAAAAACGAAAAUAAAAAAGCAAAGAGAACAGACAAAACAAAAAGUAAGCCAACAUUUUCAGAUUAAUCUCUGAGCUAAAAGCAGAUAAUAGAUGCUAAACUCAUGUUUCACCUCGCUUAAUACAUACCAUCGAUCAUGUUGAUUCCUUUCUUUCUUCUAGCCCUCUAGCUUCCGGGUACAAUUCUGUAAACAUUUAUACCUAUACCCUUAAUUUUGACAAGAUAAGUGAUUGGUCUAUUCGUAUCACUUGCAACUAACAGUUUAAACCUUCACCCAGCGGAUUAAUGUUUCUUUUCCUCCGUUUGGAAGCUACUUCUUCUUCUAUCAAAAUUCUUCUCUGUCAGUUUCGUAUUCAAUUCUAGAAUGGAGGCGAAGCCAGUGGGCUUAUGAGAAGUUUUUUCCUAUGUUACUUUCAUUUGCAAUAUAUCAACAUAAAACCCAAGUACGGCAAAAGCAUCUAAUCCAAGGAUGAGUGUUGAAGUGGCCCCAACGGACGGCCAGCUGAC